AUAGAGUGACAGAUUUUAAGGUUUUUAGUUUGAGAGGCUAGAAAAAUGGUGUUCCUGGUGACAAAUGAAACUCUUCAGAAAGGGAGACUGCUUGCAAGGAAAAAUUGAUUUGUUCUUUUUAGAAAAUGUUGACUUUGGAACUGUAACUUGAAAACCAUGUUGAAAGUUUUAGAAUAAUAGAGCAGUGUGGAGAAAUAGAUUUGGGCUAUGAUCAGAACAAAUGAGCUGAAAACUUUCAGUUGUUUUACUUUUUUUCUUUCUUUUUUUUCAUUUCCUUUCUUCCCCCUACCUUUUUUUUUUAAGCAGCAGAAUCUGACCUGAACUCUUAUGAAGCAGUUUAUUAUCUUUAAUUAUCUCAUUUAGAGUGAAUUGUCAUACUUUUUUUUUUUUUGCCGCAGAAGUAAUAACACAUCAUGGUACACACACAUAUUGCUUUUCCAAAAUCUGAAUAUUCUUACUUUUAAAAUACUUCUGGAAGUUCCCAUUGUGGCUCAGCAGGUUAAGAACCUGACUGGUAUCUAUGAGGAUGCAGGGAUCAAACCCACAACCUCAUGGUUCCCAGUCAGAUUCGUUUCUGCUGCGCCAUGGCAGGAACUCUGUUUCCCUGUACCUUUUACUUUCGACUUAAUUCCCUUAAUUAUUUUAUUUUUAAUGACUGCUUGAUAGGUAUUCAGCACUUUGUUCAAUUUUCUUAAUUUGGUUUGACCUAGUCACUUCGAUUUGACACUGUACGUACAGGACAUUGCUUCUCUGAUCUACAGUUUUGUAACUGUUGGGAUUAACCAUCCCUGCGGUGUUGCCUAGGCAGUCAAGUCCAAAACCUGUUUUGUUCCCUAAUGCCACAACCUUCCUAUCCUCUGCCCCAAUUAAUGGCAUUAAAAGAAAAAAAAAAUCUUUCCUUGCAGGUAUCUUACAUAACUGAGAGUCAACGUUUUGGGACAGGAACCAGUUUUGUAACAAACAGCUUUGGCAACUCUGCCCCAAGGCCCUUGCAGCCUACCCAUAUGGAGAAGGGAAGGUGUCACCUGUGCUGGUGGGGGGAGGGGCAGCACUCAGGCUGCCAUGCCAGGUCCUGGGCUUUUUCCUCAGGGACAGGGAGUUUCCCUCUGUCCCCAAGGUGUUAGUGUGGUCACUUCUGUCUAGUCUGUCCAAUGAAAGCCUGGUAAGCACAAUGCUCUGAACUCGCUAAAAGCCAGACAUGGGCAAGGAGUUAAUUAAGAAAUAUAAAUAAAAUAAUUCUGCACUAUGAGAAAAAUGACUCUAGAACAGGACGUCAAAAAGCAAGUGUAUAAUCAAAAAGAAAUGGGGCAGGUCUACUUAGACCACUUUCCUCAGUGACUGACACAAUUUUGCUGGGCACUUACACAGUAUAAUUAAUGUGUGUCAUUCCUAAAGGGACAUAUUACCUGCCUGUACCAUGAAGCCUCUUUAUAUUUAGCCCUGUUCAAUCAUCAAUUAGCUCAUACACGAGCCCCUGAGUAUCAUUAUCUCUGCUUUGCAAACAAGGAAAAGCAAGGGUGUUGGUGCCGAGACUCCAAGCAGUGUGUUACUGGCUCAAUAAAGAAGUCUGGAAUUCCUGAACUUGGGUUUCCUGCACUGUAGAAUCAAUGUAUUACAUUGUUAAACACAGUCAAAUGGAAAUGACCCCAAAACAUGUUGUUCUUGCAGUAUAUUGGCCCUACCCUGUGGUUUUCUACAUGAAGGGAAACUGCUUGGCAUGGUUGGGACUGGAGGAGAGAGAUGGAAAGACAAGGGGGCAUGGCCUGGGGAAAUGGAAGGGAAAUGCCUCAUGUGAUUUCUGGCCUAUAGAGAAAAGUUAUUGGAAUGAAGCAUUUUCAGAACAUCUCUUAAGUCUGAAGGUUACGUGGGUCUUCAGGAAGCAGGGCUGAACAUGCAACUUGGCCUCCCCCGCUAAAAUGUUUCUGGUAAAUCCUAUAUUGCCUUGACCCUAAAGGCAAUAUCCCAAUACCAGGAAUGGCAGAGCAAAGGAUUAUGAACACAGAUGAAACAUUAUAUACCAGUGAGUAGACCUACUUGGCAGGCAUCGCAGAGAUUCCUGCCUGGUCCUCUGAGAAGUAUUGCUGACCUGGUAUUUCCACAGGAUCAUCUCUAUUUUAAUCUUCUCUAUAAAUCAUUCAAAUGAGCACAGAAGCCUUUCUGCUCCAGAUGGGUAAAAAGUACCUGGGGAUUAAUUUCUGGAACAUCAUACCCCAUGAAGAGUCCUCUUCAGAGAGUGUUUGGCACAGUCUCUUGAAUGCAUGUUACUCUCCCAAGAAGGCGACAGCACUAAUAGCCAGGUGACAAGUGGACCGUGGGUCAGGAGUGAACAGGAGCCUCUGUGCUCUUUCAGUUCUCCAAGCUUCUCCCCUUCCCAAAGCAUGUUUUAGCCCUAUUAAGUGCUCCUUAUACCAGGCAUGCAAAGAAGAAAAAGUCCUCUUUAUUUGCAUGUCGUAGACAAAGGAUAGAAUAAACACAAAUAGAUAAUAGCUAAUAGAAGAGAUGAGAGAGAGAGAGGAGGGGAAUGUAGCUAAUUAAGAAUAGAUUUUAAAAAAGAGAGGGAGGGAGAGAAAGAAUCUAGCUAAUUAAGAACAGAUUUUUUUUUUUUUUUGGAGUUCCUGUUGUGGCGCAGUGGUUAACGAAUCCGACUAGGAACCAUGCGGGUUCCAUCCCUGCCCUUGCUCAGUGGGUUAAUGAUCCGGCGUUGCCGUGAGCUGUGGUGUAGGUCGCAGACACAGCUCGGAUCCCCCGUUGCUAUGGCUCUGGUGUAGGGCUGGCAGCUACAGCUCCGAUUCGACCCCUAGCCUGGGAACCUCCAUGUGCCGCAGGAGCAGCCCAAGAAAUGGCUAAAAGACCCAAAUAAAUAAAUAAAAACAGAUUUUUUUAAAAAGAGAAAGAGAGAAACCAAAUCUCUGAUCUUUGGUCUGAUUUAAGAGAGAGGUUUAAUGGUAACUGUCAGAACAUGUCUUUCAUCAGAAUAGGCUGAUCAAUAAAAUGUUCACUGAUUCAGGAUAGUUUUAACCAAGAGAUAUUUACUCUGUGAAGACUAGGCCUAUCGGUAUGGCUUUAGCUUCUCUUUUGCAGGGAGAGAAAAAGAUCCCAGUAUUUUAUGAAAAACUUUACAAAUGUAAGGCAGGACCUGCUUUACAUCUAUAAUCAGAAGUGGAAUUUGAAAAAAAAAUCUUUCAAGUCGUGUUUUUCCUUUAAAGAGUUAUUAGAGUAGGAAGUGAUUUUGAUGAUUUUUUUUUCUUUGUAGGGUAAACUUGAGACUGUCAUGAGCACUAAAUGUGUUUCUAUGGAACUAUGAAUUACUUAGAUACUUUGGAGACCUGGGUGUCUGUGCCUGAAUCAUGAUACUUGGCUGUCUAGAAUUUGGGGAAGUGAGUUGUUCUAGACAGCUGAGCUUUAUAGAUGACCCAGUGUCUAUCCUAGUAGGUUGGAACCUUUAACAUUUUUACUGUUUUGAAUAAAAGCUAUCUAAAGAUAUGUUUAUGCAUUUUUUUUUUUUGCUUUUUGAAAACAAUAUGCUAAACAUAUUUAGCUUUUUCUUGAUGAAGCAUUAUUAUUAUGGAAAACAGCUUUUUUAUGGAAUGUUCUCAGAACUUAACUGAAAUGUAUUGUUCUGUCUGCUAUUGCAGUAAAUUAUUAUUUCUGUGUUAUUCUUAAUAGUUUUUUUCUAGAAAUUUCCUUAUUAUUACCUGUCAUUUCUUACUUUUGUCACUGUAUACUUUUGAAAAAUAUUUUAAAAUGUUUAAAAGGUUUCAAUUAGUUACAUGUUUGGAAAUUAGCUAACAAUACUCUUUAGAAUCUUAUAUAAAGGAAGAGUAAACAGGCUUGGAGUAAGGCCAACACUUCCUUCUCUAACUGUUCUUAUUCCAAAAAAAAAAUUUAUUAUAAAUUUGAAAAUGUACACAAAUGGAGAGAAUAGUAUAAUGGACCACCACACCAUCCCUCUUAACUUUACACAUCAUCCUAUUUCAACAAUUCCCAAUUUCUGAGCAGUCUUAUUUCCUCUAUACCUCCCCUACUCUCCCACCUUACAUCUGCAUUAAAAUCCAUUAUUUCAACAUUACUAUGGAUUCAUGUUUAGCUUAAUAUAGAUACAGCUGUUAACGUAUGGAAAAAAUUAAAUAUAUUUGCAUAUACACCACUUAGUACACACCCAUAUAUUUCCUUGCUCUAGGGCCUAGAAGCAAUGACACCUCAGAAGCAACAAGCACACCAAGAAGCCAGAUCUUGGUUUCUAAUACCAUCCUUCAGUAGCAUGAACCAGGCCUCCUUGAAAAAAGUGGCUGAUUUUAGGACUAGAGCACAAAACAUAAACAAUGAGCCUGGAGUAGCUUAUAGGGCUGAAAAGUAAAAAUGUGCCAGAUGCACACACACACAUAUGCAAUUGAUAGAGAUAUGUCAAAAAGAAACAGGAACUAACUAAAUCCCCAAUAGCCAAAACUGGAACAAUUUGAACAAUAAAAUAAAGCAGCAUUGUAUUAUAACUCAACAUAUAAAAUAAAUAUUGUUGAGUCCCUACUGAUAGAAAUACAUGAAUGAAUGAAUGGAUGGAUGGAGGAGAAGAGACAAAUCUCCUAUGCAGAAGAAUUCUAAAUAAUGUAUGUAGAUAUUGCACUUUUAAGAAGGGGGCAUAACAGCUCCACUGCUUAAGUGUGAGCUCCACAUAGUGACUUCCUUGCAAAGAGCACACCAUAGAAAAGGAUUAAGGAGCCAGUAACUUUCCAGUGGAGAAAUUUGUCAAACACUACCAAAGUCAACAUCAAUAGCCAUAAAUCAUGUUAAUAGUAUGGACCCUUGAUGAAUAAUGAAAUAAUGUUGAAAAUGAAAAUCACAUUGAUCUCUCUGCUCUUUUUCACCAAAACCCAAAACCACAAACCCCAGUCUAAUCGUGAGAAAAACACCAGACAGAUUCCAAUAAGGCUCCUUCUACAAAAGAUCUGACCAGUACUCCUCAAAACUGUCAAGGUCAUCAAAACCAGCGAACGUCUUAGAAAUUCUCAUAGCCAAGAGGAGUCAAAGAGAUAUGACAGUUACUCAUCUAGUUUCAUAUUUGUUGUCUGUGCUAUGAUGGCAACUCUGUAAAAAUUAUAUUAAGGGAAAAUAAAAUGAAAAACAUCACUGUAUUACGCUUACACAAUACUGGGGGACUUUUAAUCUUUAAAAGUGAAUGUGUAAGUAUCAUCUUGUUAAGAAAGUCAAUUCCGGAAGAGGAAAAUAGCAGGAAGAGGAUUAUAUUUCCAGCAAGGGUGACUGUCACUGGAAAGGUUAAGGCACAAGCAAGGGAGAAGAAAGAGAGAACCAGGUGACGGAUACAGUAGAAAUGAAUAAAAAAGAGGAGGGGAAAAUAGGAAAAAAAGGGAUAUACAUACAGUGAAGAGAACGUCAUUAAUAAUAUUCUGGGCUGCAGUAAUCUAGACAAUCUCUGAUUUGUUGUUCCGUUUUGUGAUUCUUUAUUUUCUAUGAAUACUAACAAAAUUAUCAGAAUAAGGUUGAGUCCUUUUCCUUGACUUUUUUCUUUUGCUUCUGUGGUACGUAAGAUAAUUUUCUAUACCUGCAGUUUCCAAACCUGUUUGGGUCUGUUGUCAUCUUCUACACUAACCAUGAAAUAGAUUUGUCCUGCAUAAACUGAGACAAACAUGUGUCCACUGAGGAAUCUAAUUUAUGGGGAGCUUACUUAUGAUUAUAUCUUUAUUAGAUCCCUGCUUGCUUAGAAAUGAUGGAGAAUAUGAUCAUUUUUGCCAGUCCACAUCAUGACUCAAAUGCUAACUUAGAAAAGAUUGAAAAAAAUCUGUAUCUUGCUGUUUAUUAAGUAAUAUAUCUGUGGUCAUUUUUAAGUUCUGUGUUCAGAUAGAGCUGAGCUAUAUUCAGAGUUUUGACCCUGACACCUUCGCCACUGUGUUUGUAAUAUAAACUAUCUUGCCAUUCACAUGCUGAUAUGUCCUAAGAAUCGUUAUGUAUAGUAACUUGCAAAUUUUUAUAAUCGUACUGUAUGUUUUUAAGUGCUUUUACAUUUAAGAAAAGGAAACUUCAUUUAACCAAUAUUUUUUUAAGUUAGUAAGUUUUACUUUUUAUUUGGUAUUUGAACGCAGCUAGAAAACCUGGAUGAAUUCAUGUUAAGAAGUAUGAAAAGAAUAAGAGUUCCCACAGUGGCACAAUGGGAUCAGUGGUAUCUCUGCAGCACCAGGACUCAGGUUCAAUCCCCAGACCGGCACAGUGGGUUAAAGGGUCCAGUGUUGCCACAGCUGUGGCUUGAAUUGAAAUUGAAGCUCAGAUCUGACCCCUGGUCUGGGAACUGCAUAUGCCAGGGGGUGGCCAAAAAAGAAAAAAAAAAA
rnacentral:lncRNA from 1 species